GGGUCCGCGUCCCACCGCGGACCCCGCCUCCGGGAAGGCGCUCCGCGUCCCUCUUCCGCCUCCGGCGGCCGGGUGGGGAAAGCGAAGUAGCGAUUUUCUGCAUUACCUUUACACAGGGUCGCCAUCUAGUGACAGCAGGAUAUACUGCUGCGUUCGACGCGAAGCCGGCCGACGCAACAAGUUUGGAACAUUCUGAAUACCUCACGUGCAAAGACACACCUCCGGUCUGAAAGGCCUUUACAGUCCCGGUGGACAGAGACUGAGGUCUCCCUGGACGAGCGCGCACGCACCCGGCUGGAAUGCUUUCUCCCUCCCUGGUGCGGCUGUACCCGCACACCGGGCUGAAAGCCUCCUGCGCCCCGCACCACAGCGUGUCAGUGUCUCCCCUGCCCAGGUGAGCUGCCGGUGGGUCCUCCACUGAGGCAGAAACAGGACUGCCCGUCACUCCCAGCUGAUGGCUGAGGUCUCAGAGAGCAACAGAGACAGUGUCAGGGGUGCAGAGUGAGUGCGUGGCUGGAGGAACUUGCCUGCUUCAGACUCUGUGUCUCCCUCUCUCUCCACGCCUCCCUCGCUCAGGCUCUGUCUGUCUCUCAAAA